rnacentral:rRNA from 1 species
GUUGCUUUAUACAUGCAAGUCGUACGAGAGUUUUUAACUCAAGUGGCGGACGGGUGAGUAACACGUAAGAAUUUGCCUUUAGGAGGGGGAUAACAACUGGAAACGGUUGCUAAUACCCCAUAUGCUUUUGAGUGAAAUGGAUUUUUCCGCCUAAAGAGAAGCUUGCGGCUGAUUAGCUUGUUGGUAAGGUAAUGGCUUACCAAGGCGACGAUCAGUAUCUGGUUUGAGAGGACGAUCAGACACACUGGAACUGAGACACGGUCCAGACUCCUACGGGAGGCAGCAGUAGGGAAUUUUCCGCAAUGGGCGAAAGCCUGACGGAGCAAUACCGCGUGAGGGAUGAAGGCCUAUGGGUUGUAAACCUCUUUUUUCAGGGAGGAACAAAAUGACGUGUACCUGAAGAAUAAGCAUCGGCUAACUCCGUGCCAGCAGCCGCGGUAAGACGGAGGAUGCAAGUGUUAUCCGGAAUCACUGGGCGUAAAGCGUCUGUAGGUGGUCAAAUAAGUCAACUGUUAAAUCUUGAGGCUCAACCUCAAAAUCGCAGUCGAAACUAUUCGACUAGAGUAUAGUAGGGGUAAAGGGAAUCUCCAGUGGAGCGGUGAAAUGCGUAGAGAUUGGAAAGAACACCGAUGGCGAAGGCACUUUACUGGGCUAUUACUAACACUCAGAGACGAAAGCUAGGGUAGCAAAUGGGAUUAGAUACCCCAGUAGUCCUAGCUGUAAACAAUGGAUACUAGAUGUUGAACAGAUCGACCUGUGCAGUAUUAAAGCUAACGCGUUAAGUAUCCCGCCUGGGAAGUAUGCUCGCAAGAGUGAAACUCAAAGAAUUGACGGGGGCCCCCCA